rnacentral:rRNA from 1 species
ACUCCUACGGGAGGCAGCAGUGGGAAUAUUGGACAAUGGGCGAAAGCCUGAUCCAGCCAUGCCGCGUGUGUGAAGAAGGCCCUCGGGUUGUAAAGCACUUUCAGUGAGGAAGAACGCUUGUGGGCUAAUACCCUGCAAGGAAGUACAUCACUUCACAGAAGAAGCACCGGCUAACUCCGUGCCAGCAGCCGCGGUAAUACGGAGGGUGCGAGCGUUAAUCGGAAUUACUGGGCGUAAAGCGCGCGUAGGCGGC